AAUACAUAAAGUGGGUCUGUUUCAAUCUUUUGUCUUUUCCCACGGCCAAUUUCCCCUUUGUUAGGGGAGAUUGACAGCAAUCUCCCUUAUGCCCCUUUUCCACCGGCUCUACUUCAACAACCCGGCUCGGCUCGGCUCUGUUUCGGAGGGACCGCGUUUCCACCAGCCCACUUGGCUCUUUUGCAGGGUACCGCCUCCUGGUGGCGGGGGUAGCGCCCCGCCUUCAGGAGCUACUGCUGUACUUUGUUGAUAUUUUUCUGAUACAAAAGAAGAAGAGAAAGCUGAGCUAUUUUUUUUAUAGCCUGAUUGCGAUUUUUCUGAGACUAAAAGAAAAUGUGACAGUGGGAGGAAUGCUGCGAUGUGGUGAGGAGGAGCUGAUCUCCGCCUUGCAGCGGCAGGAAAGCAGGUGGCUCAGACGGUUCAGACCAUCGUGGUUCUUCUGCAGCCUUUGGGUUGUAGGAUCUCAUCAGUGUCCGUCUUCCUGACUGCUGGUCGGUGUUUACCUUCAGGAUGUCCAGAGACCUUCACCUUUCUGGAGCAGGAAUCACAUGAGCUCAAUAUGCUGAUGAAAUAUUUCUGAUAAAA